UAGAAGGUUGAUGAGCGCAUCAGGACUUUGAUUGAGAAUGGGGUAAAGACAAGGCACAGGUCCAUGUUUGUCAUUAUUGGUGAUAAAUCUCGUGAUCAGAUUGUAAAUCUCCACUACAUGUUAAGCAAGGCAGACAUCAAAUCCCGCCCAACUGUCUUAUGGUGUUACAAGGAAAAAUUGAUUGACAACACUAGAAUAUCCCCAAAAUCACAAAUUUAGUUCAUUGAACUACGGAAACAAACCCAAAUAUGAGGGCAAUUCUAUAAGAACCAACUAGUCAAACUUAAAAAUAAAAUCUAGUCAAACUUAAAAUAAAUAAAAACAUAGCUGCAAAACAAAAUAAAAACAAUUAAUUCCUAAUUGGAACAAAGUAAUUUAAAAUUGGUACAAAUUUGAUUCAUAAUGGACAUAACAUAAUUGAACAUCUUUGAAAGUAAUUUAAAAUUGGACAUAAUUGGACAUCUUUCAAAGUAAUUUAAAAUUUUCCCGAUUCACAAUUGGAACAAAUCUGAUUCAUAAUGCAUAGAAAGUAAUCUGAUCCCAUCUAAAAUUUUCCUAAUGCAUAGAAAGUAAUUUGAUCCCAUCGUGCACAAUUAAAUUUUGAUCUAGAUAGGACAAUAGGGGAUGUAGACUUCUUCAAUUUGUUAGCCUGAUUAUAUAUGGGUAAAUUAAUCUAGGAAAAAUGCUGAAAGGUAUAGAAAGUAGAAAGCCUAGUAGAUGUAUCCAGCAGUUGGGUUUACUAGACAAUUUCAUCUAAGACAAACAAGAAUAGAAACAACUCAAGAUUUCGGUGGUCACAAAUAUACAGACUCCAGAUUACAUGGACACAGGUCCAACAUAAGAUGCUUUCAAAAUUAAAUCUUCAAAUUUGGCAUCAAUAUAUAUAUAUAUAUAUAUAGCCCAUCAAAUGAAAAAGAAAAUCAAGAAGCAAUGCAAUUUUUCUUAGUAUAUUAAUCAAAUCUUCCUUCAUGGUAAUUAAAAAUACCAAUAGCUUACCUACCAGCCAAAAAAAAAAAAAAAAAA